rnacentral:lncRNA from 1 species
UUGUUUUUUGUAUUUUAGAAAAAAUGACAGAUACUAUUCAAACAGAUUUUGAAGAUAACAAAAAUGAACGAGUCAUCAUUGUAAAUGAGAAAGAUGAGUAUGAAAGAAUAGAUACACGAAAAAAUAUGAGGUUAAAUAAUUUGUGGCAUAGGACAACACUAAUUUUUGUAUUCACUAUAAUAUCAAGCGAGUAUUUUCUUUAUAUACAUAAAAGGUCUAAAGUUAAAGAUUACUGUCCAUCAUAUUAUUCUUUAGGCUUUGGUGGAGUUCUUUCAGAAAAUGAAAAUUAUUUACAAAACGCAAUUAAAGAAUUACAAGAAGAAAGUGGAAUUAUAAAAAAUAAAGAACAGUUAUAUGAAUUAGGUUUAUGGAAAUGUGAUUUCGAAUACACUAAAUGCUUUGUUAUGGCUUAUGUUACUUUUAUUCCACCAGAUUUCCAAACCAUACCUCAACUAAGCGAAGUUGAAUUUAUAACAAAAAUAUCUUUAAACGAUUUAGACCGUUUUUUACAAAAAGAAAAAAUUACCAUGACAAGUAAUAAUAAAAAGUAUCAAUUUUUUUAAAUCUUCAAUUUGUAUAUUAUUUAUUAUUUGUCUUUUUGUUAUAUAUCAAAUAUAAAUAAUUUAUUUUAUUUUUUCUACGAAAACACGUUGUUUAUGUUUUUAAGCUACUGAAUUUUGCNNNNNNNNNNAAAACGAAUUUCUUUCUCUUUUGUUUUUUGUAUUUUAGAAAAAAUGACAGAUACUAUUCAAACAGAUUUUGAAGAUAACAAAAAUGAACGAGUCAUCAUUGUAAAUGAGAAAGAUGAGUAUGAAAGAAUAGAUACACGAAAAAAUAUGAGGUUAAAUAAUUUGUGGCAUAGGACAACACUAAUUUUUGUAUUCACUAUAAUAUCAAGCGAGUAUUUUCUUUAUAUACAUAAAAGGUCUAAAGUUAAAGAUUACUGUCCAUCAUAUUAUUCUUUAGGCUUUGGUGGAGUUCUUUCAGAAAAUGAAAAUUAUUUACAAAACGCAAUUAAAGAAUUACAAGAAGAAAGUGGAAUUAUAAAAAAUAAAGAACAGUUAUAUGAAUUAGGUUUAUGGAAA